CAAUAAUAAUUUUCUUUGUUCAAUAAUCUUAUAUUCACAAGAUUAUUAUAAGACUUUCAAGUCAAUAACGAAAACGAGAAGAACGAAGUAAACACCAAAUCUAUCAUUAAAUAAACAAUGUAUUUUAUUUUGAUCAAAAAGAAACAAUGUAUAGACAUUCUUUAGAAAAUUAGUGGGAGAAAACAAAAACUUGUCAUAAAAUCUAAGUAAAAUGAAAAUAAAAGUACAGAACAAAAGAGAAUCAAACCUGACCCUUAAGUGACCAAUCAGAAUCGACCGCGCCUAGUCUUUCCUGAUUUUCCUCACCUUAUCUCUCUCUCUCUCUCUCUCUCACUCUUCUCUAAACUAUCCAACUUCAUUCUCCAUCUUCCUGGCGUCUCUCCUCUCUCUCUUACUCCAUCAAUGGCCACCACAAACUCUCUCCACCACCACCAUCACUCUUCUUACCAACACCACCGCCACAAUCUCCACUACCAAUCUCACUUGACACCAACUUCUCUCUCACUCAAAC
rnacentral:lncRNA from 1 species